rnacentral:rRNA from 1 species
UACGUAGGGGGCAAGCGUUGUUCGGAAUUACUGGGCGUAAAGGGCGCGUAGGCGGUCUGCCAAGUCCGGGGUGAAAGCCCCCAGCUCAACUGGGGAAGUGCCUUGGAUACUGGCGGACUUGAGGGAGGCAGGGGUUGUGGGAACUUCCGGUGGAGCGGUGAAAUGCGUUGAUAUCGGAAGGAACGCCGGUGGCGAAAGCGCACAACUGGUCCUCUUCUGACGCUGAGGCGCGAAAGCCAGGGGAGCAAACGGG